GCCAGUGUGGCACAGUGGUUAGAAUGUUGGACUAUGACUCUGAAGACAAGGGUUCAAUUCCUUGCUCAGCCA